AGAGUUUGAUCCUGGCUCAGGAUGAACGCUAGCGGCAGGCCUAAUACAUGCAAGUCGAGGGGCAGCAGGACUUUUCGGAGUUGCUGGCGACCGGCGCACGGGUGCGUAACGCGUACGCAAUCUACCCAUAGCAGAGGGAUAGCCCGUGGAAACAUGGAUUAAUACCUCAUAAGACAUUUUGAUCACCUGAUCGAGAUGUUAAAGCUCCGGCGGCUAUGGAUGAGCAUGCGUCCCAUUAGCUAGUUGGUACGAUAACUGCGUACCAAGGCGAUGAUGGGUAGGGGUUCUGAGAGGAUGAUCCCCCACACUGGUACUGAGAUACGGACCAGACUCCUACGGGAGGCAGCAGUAGGGAAUAUUGGUCAAUGGACGCAAGUCUGAACCAGCCAUGCCGCGUGCAGGAAGACAGCCUUCUGGGUUGUAAACUGCUUUUCUCAGGGAAGAAAACACUCUUGCGAGAGGGAUUGCCGGUACCUGAGGAAUAAGCACCGGCUAACUCCGUGCCAGCAGCCGCGGUAAUACGGAGGGUGCAAGCGUUGUCCGGAUUUAUUGGGUUUAAAGGGUGCGUACGCCGCCAAAUUAAUCAGUGGUGGAAUGUAUCACCUUAAACCGAUGAGGUGCCAUUGAAAACUGAUUGGCUUGAGUACCCACCAAGUAGGCCGAAUUUUAUGGUGAACCGGCCGAAAGGCUUAAAUUACC
rnacentral:rRNA from 1 species